AGCUUCAAAAGUUGAGGGGCAAAGUUGAACUGAUGGAACAAAAGAUCAAAAUGCUGGAACAAGUGAAUUCGGAUCUGAAGGAUGACAAAGAAUUUUUGCUCAGCCAGAUAAAAUCAUCGGCUCCUCAGCUGAAGAGGCAAACCAUUCAGACUUCAUCAGAUGAUGAAUCGAGCACAUCAUCAUACACGUCCAGUUCUUCAGAGGAGGUGCC